CCCUUAGAUGUUCUGGGCCGCACACGCGCUACACUGAAGGAGGCAGCGUGUACUCCUGGAUCGAAAGAUUUGGGUAACCCGCGAAUCUCCUUCGUGCUAGGGAUUGAGGUUUGCAAUUAUCCUUCAUGAACGAGGAAUUCCCAGUAAGUGCAAGUCAUAAGCUUGCGCUGACUACGUCCCUGCCCUUUGUACACACCGCCCGUCGCUACUACCGAUUGAGUGAUCCGGUGAAUAAUUCGGACUGCAGCAGUGCUUGGUCCUCCGGGCUUUGCAGCGGAAAGUUUAGUGAACCUUAUCACUUAGAGGAAGGAGAAGUCGUAACA
rnacentral:rRNA from 1 species